GAUGAACGCUGGCGGCGUGCCUAAUACAUGCAAGUCGAGCGAACGGACGAGAAGCUUGCUUUUCUGAUGUUAGCGGCGGACGGGUGAGUAACACGUGGAUAACCUACCUAUAAUACUGGGAUAACUUCGGGAAACCGGAGCUAAUACCGGAUAAUAAUUUGAACCGCACGGUUCAAAAGUGAAAUACGGUCUUGCUGUCACUUAUAGAUGGAUCCGUGCUGGAUUAGCUAGUGGGUAAGGUAACGGCUCACCAAGGCGACGAUCGAUAGCCGACCUGGGAGGACGAGCAGCCACACUGGGACUGAGACACCGCCCAGACUCCUACGGGAGGCAGCAGGGGGGAAUGUUGGACAAUGGGCGCAAGCCUGAUCCAGCCCUGCCGCGUGCGGGAAGAAGGCCUUCGGGUUGUAAAACGCUUUUGUCAGGGAAGAAAAGGUUCUGGCUAAUACCUGGGACUCAUGACGGUACCUGAAGAAUAAGCACCGGCUAACUACGUG
rnacentral:rRNA from 1 species